GGACCAUUAGCUCAGUUGGUUAGAGCUCUUGCCUUACAAGCAAGAGGUCAUAGGUUCGAGUCCUAUAGCGUCCA
rnacentral:tRNA from 1 species